rnacentral:Y_RNA from 1 species
GGCUGGUCCGAUGGUAGGAGUUGUCAGAACUUAUUAACGUUAGUAUCGCUAAAGUUGGUAUUCAAACCCCCACUGCUAAAUUUGACUGGCUUUAA